GGCAUCUGUCAGUUGUUGGGAUAUAAUUAGGUGAACAUAUUUUCCUUAAAGUUGAUGUGUUAGAAGCAGGAAAAAUGGGCAAGCGGAAGGAUCUGAGCAACUUUGACAAGGGUAGAAUUGUGAUGGCUAGAACAUCUCCAGCAGUUCAACAAGCUGUUGAGGGACAUGAUUUUCUGGCAACUCAAGAAGCAGGAAAGAAAAACCAAGGAACAUAAUGUUUAAUUUGUAUUGGUGAUGGUAAUUUAAUUGUAUUGUACUCUUAUAUUAUUUUAUAUGAUUUCAUAGUUUGCUAAUCUCUUAUUAUAAACCUUCUUGUUUCAUG